GCAUGCCCUCCUUUUUUUUCUCGGCGGCGGCGGCGAGGAUGGGCGGAGAAGAGAUGAAGCGUCCGCGGCACGUGUAGCUGUCUAAGCUCGCUGAGCAAGCAGAGCUCUUCGAGGAGAUGCGGCUAUUCGUGGGAGGACAUGGUACGGCAAACGCUCGCGUAGAUAGUUCACUGUGGAAGAAGAAACCAUGGUUGUGUAUAAGGAGACGCAGGGAGCUGAUUGAAACUUCCAACCCGACUUAAAUUUAACUUAAGUCAGGGUGUUGCAUAUUCAAUUCACGUAGUGCUAAUCCAGAUUCUAAGGUGGUAUUGAUGCAAGCAUUGUCACCUCUGCAACUUGAAAACUGCUAUGCUGUUAAGCUUGCAGUUGUCAUUGCAGUAUCUGAGAGAAACAAGUUUUACAGAGAAUGGAAACAGAGAAGAAGCUGUAAGCCUAGUGGAGGGAAUGAUGCCAUAUCCAUUAAACUAUAGUCAUCCUAGGAUAAUUUUGGACUCGUCAGAGUUAAUCGCGUGAAACUUCAUGUUUGUAUCAAGCUUUUUGAAUCUAAAGGGCAAGAUCAAGGAUCCUAAAGUCAUCUGUCCUUGCUCACCAAAGCCUUGCACCAACAUCAGAUCUUGCUCAAAGCGCUAGAUAUCAAGGGACAAAUACCUAAAUUAUUGCAGACUCAUGAGCACCAAAGACCUUGGGUCAAUGAGAAUAUCAUUCACAAAAAUGCUGUUUCUCUUCGUCGUAAUAUAAAGUGAUCAAUUAUGUUCAUAAGUUCCAGUAAGGAAUCUACAUAUACUAUAAUGAGUAGAAUAUUCUAGUCAUGAAGCACUUCAAUCAAACAUUGCUCCAUGGAAUGUGCGCUUUGUAUUGCUUCGAAUUUUAGAGAUUCCAAAUUCCCAAAGGUCUUUUGACAUGAGGAGAGUUUCAUAUAUGUUGAGAUGUAGGUGGGAUCUUUCAUAAAUGUAAAAUGAUAUUAUCUUCAUCCCUCUUAAUUGAGGUCAAUGCCUUCUUGUAAUACUUUGGGAUAUCAUCUUCGUUGCUCAUUGUAUUAUUGUUUUGGUCUUUAUUUGACAGACCCUUCUUUUAUGGUGGUGGUAGUACUUUGCACACCUUAAUUUAACUUUAAGCACUUCCUUUAGAUUUCUUUGAUAAAGAAGGAUCUUCCAAAUCAAUUUCUUUGACAAUCAGAUGAUUAGAUAUUUGAAGCUUUGGUGUCACUUCUUAAUUUUAAAUGCGCCAUCUUUGAUGCAUUGGGGACUCCAAACAAUUUUUAUCAGAAAAGUAUAAAUCUUAUUUGGAGGUGUCAUUUGCUGCAACACUAUGAGGCAAGACUAUGUACCUUCAGGGGUUUCUUUUUCAUUUGGAGAAGAAGAUCUAUGAGAGGCAAGACUAUGUUGGAGUCAUGUGAUAUAUGUCAUUGUUACUGCCAACUCUCUGCUACAGGCUUGAGAGUUAAUUCAUUUUGAAAUGAACUAGAAUGUAGAAAUGACUCAACAAGUUUCAAUCAAGAGUAACUCUUUAUAUUCUUCUCAUGAUGGAUUUAUUUUGAGCUUGGCCAUAAACCUUGUAGGCCUAAUAGGAUGCCUUGCCGGUUGAUGGUAGUCCUCUUAAUUGUUAAUAACUUUUGCAUGAUGGAUUUCUUCUUUUUUUAUUUUGUUUGUUAGGUUAGUCUUUUGGCGUUUUUUUUUCUUGGCAAAAUCUGAUUAUACUCUUCCUGUAUUGGGACGAAUUUGGCUGGCUAGGCUGUUUGUUAUAUGGUAGCACUUUGGAAAUGGAAGUACUUAGACAUUGGCUUCCUAUCAAUUUAAGCACUAAUUUAAUUACAGACUUCCAGCAAAUAUUAGGAAUGCCCGCAAGCUAUUUUAACUUUUUUUAGUUUUCUUUGAGACAAUCACCUCCUAUUCUUUGCCUCGAAUUUCUUUUGCUCAUUCUAGUUCUUUUGGCUUAGGAAUAAGAGGAUGUAAUUACUUUCAUCGACUCCUUAGGGUUCACUAAAAUACUCCAUCCUUGUAUGUCUUUUCUAGUAAAUCCUAGAAAAUAUAAUAAUCUUCACUGGAAUGGCUGACCACCCAGUCACAUGAAUAGUAGUUUCCAUUAUCUGUUUUUGAUCAACUUCUUUGGCUCUUUUUUAUUUUGUAACUACUGAACAAUCCUGUAUUCUCGACAAAAUAACUUCGCACGUAGCCUCUCCAAAAUGAAUAUUAUUUAUUCCUUUUGUCCUUGAGGGAUGUGAAUUUGCUUCCAUGAUUCCCUAUUGAUUUGGAAUGUUUAUCACCAAUAGAAACAUGUCCGGGUUUAUCAUUUUUUUUCAUGUAUCAAGUUUAGUAGGGAUUUAACUAUAACACUAUUUGGUUGCUUCCCUUUAUGAAUGUUUCAAGUAAAAGUGGGUUAUUUUCUUUUAUUAACUUUGUGCUAGGACGGCCCAGAAGGGGCCGGCUGGACCGGUCCAAGUCUACUCCAGGUGGAAGCCUGGAUGUGCGGAAACAGCAAGGGGGGCGGAGCCCCCUGUGGGCCCCACUUGGGGUUAAAUCAUUUUGGGAGGGAAAUUUUUGAAUGAGGGGCUGUUUUAGGUAUUUUGUAAUUUUCCUUUCUUUAAUUAGGAGUUAUGCUGAGAGUUGGCUCAUCUUGAAUUUGAAUCUUAUUUGAGAUCUAGGUUUUGUUCUUAGGCUCUUGGUGUUGCCGGAGAUUGUGGAGAGUAUAUUUCCUUCCUCUCGAAUUGAAGGAAAAUUGUAUAUUUCUUUGUUGUCUUGCAUCUACUAUUGGAAUACAAGAGAUUUGCGUGGUUUUCUCUCAGAUUUCUAGCAUAACUCUCCUGUUUCUCCCUGUUUUUGGGCUGUUUCCUGCUGUGGACAGCAAUAAUAUUGCUGCAGUUUACUGAUUUUGGCUAGGAAUACUUGUGAAUACAAGUGUUUCCUAUCACUUUGUUGGAGAUAAUUGUACCUUUUUUGGCAUCCAAUGCUUUUUUCUACCUGGAAUCUUCUAAAUGAUUUUUCGAAUUUUAGCAAGUCCAAUUUCUCAAAUUUGACCACUCAAUUGCUCUUGGAAAGCUAUGCGUAAAUAUAAAGCAUUCGGCCAUCAAUAUUAGUCAUCAACAGUUGAACUACAUGUCCCUCUUCUAUCUAUCAUUCACAUUUCAUACUCAAAUUGUGUCAUUGAGUAACAUACUGUCACCGAUUCAUCUCUUUUGCAUUUUUAAUGGCUAAGUCAAUGAUAGUUUUAUUAUUGCGUUAGGAAACCUUUUCACAAGCAUUGUCUCUAGUUUAACAAAUACCUUGAUAUAAUCAUUUUGGAGUUCGACAUAUCUCUCAAAAACAAUCAUUGUGAUGCAACUAAUGAAUUGACAAAAGAGUAAAACAUAAGCGCUUCCUAUGUUGAUGCAAGCCACUUAGACCUGGGGGAAUUGUUUUCUUGGAUUAUCUUUUUUAUUAAACAUUUUGAAUGACACCUACUCAUAUUUUGUUGUAGAUAGAUGAGCAGGCAACCCUUCCCUACUAACUGUUUUAUUCGUUUGGAAGCUUUGAGUGCCUUGAUUUUUUCAUUGAUAAGAGUUUUCAUUUGGGUUGUAGUCAUUACUUCUUAUGUACUUAGAUUUUCUUGAGUGAGAGGUUGAGUUGCUUUUG